GUGCUUGCUUCAGCAGCAUAUAUAUUAAAAUUGGAAGGAUACGGAGAAGAUUAGCAAGGCCCCCGUGCAAGGAUAACACGCAAAUUUAUGAAACGUUCCAUUAAAAA
ensembl:snRNA U6 U6 spliceosomal RNA